rnacentral:rRNA from 1 species
CCUACGGGAGGCAGCAGUAGGGAAUCUUCCACAAUGGGCGAAAGCCUGAUGCAGCAACGCCGCGUGGGUGAAGAAGGUCUUCGGAUCGUAAAACCCUGUUGUUAGAGAAGAAAGUGCGUGAGAGUAACUGUUCACGUUUCGACGGUAACUAACCAGAAAGCCACGGCUAACUACGUGCAAGCAGCCGCGGCAAUAUGUAGGUGGCAAGCGUUAUCCGGAUUUAUUGGGGGUAAAGGGAACGCAGGCGGUCUUUUAAGGCUGAUGGGAAGGCCUUCGGCUUAACCGGGGUAGUGCAUUGGAAACUGGGUGACUUGAGUGCAGGAGAGGAGGGUGGAACUCCAGGUGUAGCGGUGAAAUGCGUAGAUAUAUGGAAGAACACCAGUGGCGAAAGCGGCUCUCUGGUCUGUGACUGACGCUGAGGUUCGAAAGCGUGGGUAGCAAACAGGAUUAGAUACCCCAGUAGUC